GCUGAUGCCAUUUUAGGCCUCAGCACGCCUGCACCCAGGCGCUCAUUAAAACAGCAUGUUGCUCCACACUGCCUCGUGUUGUCUGUUGGCACGCUGUCAGGGUUCGAACCCAUACAAGAACCUUUCACCUACCUGGUGCUUUGGCCUCAUCUAUAAGCUUUUCCACUGUCCUGAAACAAGGUAGAGAAUCUGAGCAGCCAGUCAUCUGCCCUAAGUGCUGCCGCCGAAGACUGAAUGUCCUGGAAAGUUUGCUAUCACAUCUCCAUUACGACAAAAGCAUUGUGCCGAACAGAUGAAAAAAUGCAUUGUCAAUGGAAUAUUUUAUGUUUGUUUGUUUUCCUUUAAGCAACAUUGCCUUACUUGUUAUAAAAGAUAAAUAAAUAUUUGUUCAUUUCAA
rnacentral:lncRNA from 1 species